ensembl:lincRNA
GGAGGCUCCAAGUUAUUAACACAAGGGAGCUGCACAGGAGAGCCGGAAACCCCGCUCUGGACACCACAGGAGCUGUGCCUCCUGCGUGUCAACACUCCCACCAGCUCCAGAAGCAAGUCUUUCUUAUAGCCAACCAGGAGAGGACCACAGGAGGGCCACUGAUGUGUUUGCAGGAAGGGUUUGCCCAGGACAGAGAUUUCAGGCUCGGAAUUGAGUUCCUAAGUGCUUUCCCUGGGGAGUUUCUUGGGACUGAGGCGGUGGGGGGCCUGUUUGGAAUGCUGGUGGAAAGGGGAAGUUCUGGAAUCUGUGCGCCCCUUCCUCACCGCUCCUUCUCCCCACUGGCCGCAGCCACCCUCUUUCACAAACCCCACAGGCAGAGGCCAGGACUCCUGGAGUUUGUGAGAAAGCAACAUAAGCCACUCACUCUGCUGCCUUCCCUUUUCUCUGCCAGUUCCUCCCUGGACCUGGUUUGGGGAGACCAGCUGCUCCCAGAAGUCCCCAGACCCAUCGACAUUGCGGAGCCAAACCCACAAGACCAAGGAGGAAGCGGCAAACGCUGGCGUUACAGCUCCGGCAGUUACCGCCUAGCUUUCAAGUCUCCCCGUCCGCAGCCGCUGUCCGUGCAAAUGGCAAGGCUCUGGGGCAGACAGACUGGGUUCCAGCUGUCUUUUCUCGGGGCAAGUUUUUUUUUGUUGUUGUUGUUGUUUUGUUUUUUUGUUUUUGUUUUUUUUUUUUUUGUCUUUCUAAGUCUCGCUUUCUUUGUCCGCAAAGUGAGGGUGAAAAUAGCAACUUCGAAAGUCGAUGAUGAGGUUUCAAGGAAAUACUGCAGGCAAAGUGCCCGCAUACAAAAGGCACGGCCGGGGCGGCUUCCGAAUUUCCGCCCAGGAGCGCCCGGGUGGGGUGAAGGGCAAGAUAUUUACGCUCCUUCCAGAAAGUUGCACACAUAUGAGCUCCAUCACACUGAGAAGCCUUUGAUGAUCAGGUGCCAUGCUGGACCCAUACAGGCCUGUGGAAACUGCUUGCAUGAAGCCCUGUGACUGCACCCCUCCCAGGAGGCCCAGAAAGACGAUGAGGUGGUCAAGACUUUAGAAGUUCGCCCAAGCACACAUUUAACAAACCUACUGGUUGACUGAAGUAAGCGACCAUAGAGUGCAUGGUUGUUGCUACCCAGUCACUUAGUUGUGUCCGUAUGUAUGCUGGGUAUGGUCUGUUGGGAUAAAUUCUAUGGGAGCCUACAUUCAGGGACCAGAGUAAGCCUUGAGGAUUAAGGUAUUAGGCCGAGUCCUUCAGUCAUCAUUUUUGUAGGUAAAUUAUCAAUACAUUUGGGUAUUGAUGAUUUUACAAGGUUCAACCUGUGGUUAUAUAUGGUCAGCCACCAUCACCUCUUCUUCUGAGACAAAGAGCUCCCUUAUCCAUCCCCAUCCUCAGACUGUGUGGUUUGGGUGGGGCUUUCGCCACCAACAGCUCAGGUGUGAGCACAUAACCCAGACCCAGGCAAGGAGAGUCACCCCCACCAAUUAACCACAGGGAAUGGUUGGCAGAUGGGCACACAACUGAAGAGGGGCCGCUAGGAGUGGUGCCAACAAAACCUACAUGAUGCAGACGAUGCCGAAGCUCAUGGCAUGAAGGCAGACUUUCAGAUGUUGUGAAGAGAUCCAAGGACAAAGAAGCCAUCCUGUUGUGCAUGCAUUGAUGGACAGACAGACAUGCAGACAGAUAAACAGAUACAUAGAUAGAUAGGCAGACAGAUAAACAUUAUAGAUAGAUAGGUAACGAGAGAGAGACGAACAGAUCGGCAGAGAGCUACAUAGAUAAUUUUCAUUAAUUUUUAAAAUUUUAUUGAAAUAUGGUUGACUUACAUUGUGUUCAUCUCUGCUAUACAACAAAGUGACUCAGUUUCUUUUUCAUAUUCUUUUCCAUUUUGGUUUGUCACAGGAUAUUGAGUGUAGUUCUCUUAGAUGGAUAAUUUUUUAAAAUCUUUCUUUAACCUUUGAAUUCUUUUCUGUCACUUGUAACAAAAAGAGCCCUGCAUGGACUUAUGGAAGCUUCCCAGGGAUGUGAUGCGUGAGUUGCAAAGACUGCUUUGGGGGCGGGAGUGAGGGUGGGAUGAGAGGGUGAGGAGAUGACUAUGCCUGGGGGUCCAGGUUUAAGCCUUCCCUAAUGACUACACCAAUGAAACGAACUUGCUCUGCCCCUUCAGCUGCUCAAUAAACCAAACAAAAAGGUCUGUUCUCUUCUGCGUGUGAGCUCUUCUGAGAGUCAAGCUAAUGCAUUAUUGAUGAGCCAUAAAUAAUGGGGCCAGCAUGAUUUCCUAUUCGGUGCUGAAGUACAAAGGUAUAACACUGACUUUUUAAUGAGGUUUUUAUGACUCAGGUUCACUGUUUACUCUGGAAAUGGGGGCUGGCUUUUUCAAGAAAGCUGUUUUUACUUUACUUUUGUUUUCCUCCUCCAUUUGUCAGCAUCCUUUUAAAUAUUUGUAUGAAAUAUUAGCAUUAAAACAGAUCAAAUAAAAGAGAGC